UCUUCUACUUUCUCUCUCUCUCAUUUGCAGUCUCUCCCAAAUAUGGAUUUACAGAUUUUUUUUUUUUGCUUUUUGUCGAUAAAGUUGAAAAGAUGAUAGAGGAAGAGAAGAAGACAAACAAAAAUUGUUCAAGCGUGUGUAAGAGAUUUACAAAAAACAAAAACUGAUGGCAGCAAGAUGAGAAGAGAAGAUAUUGGUGUGACGAUGGUGGUCUUAGCGUUAGUGUUUUUGCAGUUUACGUCGGCUGAUUUCAUGGAAGGAUUCAAUUCCACCGUCUUUGCAUCAAGUCAGAGCCACUCUCUUCAUUUGCCCCAUCUCUUUCAUCUCCGCUUGCUUACAUGGGAUCAGUUGGAAAUAAUAAAUACAAAGAUCUAAUGAAGAAGGAUGUACAACAGGUUGUGGCAAUGUUCACCAUCAUCGCAAUGAGUCGUCGUCAACUGGAACUUGCGAUGCUUGUGUUGUAAUGGAGAAAACCUGCUCAAUGGUCUUGGAAAACCAGCAGCAAAAUUCAAAUUAUAAUGAUUGGAGUUGUGAUCGAAGACAAAGAAUUUGUCGAAUCUUCAUGAACGGAGUGAAGUGAAUGGCCGGGAAAUUCUCUUACAGUCUUAGAUGUUCCUUGUGGUCAGAGCAUCUCGGCCUUCACGCCGGGGAGAUGAAAAUAAUCGAAGAACCGAUCAAAGAUGCAACAUACAAGGACUUGUGGAUGGCAACAGCUAAGAAGAACGCUGACAUCUACAACCAAGUCUUCUCUUGCAUUCCUAAUGAGCAUAUACGCUCAAGAACUGCCUUGAGAGAGAACAUGUCUCUUAUAAAAGAUAACUAGAGGCUGAAUGAGACAAGAGGUCACCUUGUGUGUUUCCCAUUACAGUUCAUGUGUCUGAUGAUUAAUUGGUCUUGACAUUUCCAGACAUGUUGGUGAUCACCGCUAUAGGCACUCUUAGAAUAUUUUGUGGUAAUCAAUAGAUGAGGCUUUAAAUACAAUGUUUUCCAGCUGAGGAACGGGAGAGAUGUAGAAGAAGAUAGUACUUCAUAUGAGAGUUUCAAAUUAAGGAGAUAAAGAUUGGAAUUAACAAUAUUGGUUCGAGAAAUUAUAGGUUUUAAUUUCGAAGCUGCAAGGUUUGGUUUGAGAAUAUGAAACACUACCUUCUCUGCAAAUUUUUAAUGAGAUGUAGUUUUUUUCUUAUCAAUGUUUGGGAUUUGAGUAGUUGUUUAGUUUGAGACUUUGAGUAGUUGCAAUUUUUCAUUUUGAGACUUGAGUUCAAUCUAUCGAAUAUAAAUUAUGUAAAUAUUGUCAAAUUAUAUUUAUCGAAGACAAAUUGUAUUGA